AGUGAACGCUGGCGGUAGGCCUAACACAUGCAAGUCGAACGGCAGCACAGUAAGAGCUUGCUCUUACGGGUGGCGAGUGGCGGACGGGUGAGGAAUACAUCGGAAUCUACUUUUUCGUGGGGGAUAACGUAGGGAAACUUACUCUAAUACCGCAUACGACCUACGGGUGAAAGCAGGGGAUCUUCGGACCUUGCGCGAUUGAAUGAGCCGAUGUCGGAUUAGCUAGUUGGCGGGGUAAUGGCCCACCAAGGCGACGAUCCGUAGCUGGUCUGAGAGGAUGAUCAGCCACACUGGAACUGAGACACGGUCCAGACUACUACGGGAGGCAGCAGUGGGGAAUAUUGGACAAUGGGCGCAAGCCUGAUCCAGCCAUACCGCGUCGGUGAAGAAGGCCUUCGGGUUGUAAAGCCCUUUUGUUGGGAAAGAAAAGCAGCAGGUUAAUACCCCGCUGUUCUGACGGUACCCAAAGAAUAAGCACCGGCUAACUUCGUG
rnacentral:rRNA from 1 species